CCACGGGUGGCUGCAGUGAGGAAUUUUGCGCAAUGGGGGUAACCCCGAUGCAGCAACGCCGCGUGGAGGAUGACGCAUUUCGGUGUGUAAACUCCUUUUAUAUGUCAAGAAAAUGACGGUAGCAUAUGAAUAAGCACCGGCUAACUCCGUGCCAGCAGCCGCGGUAAUACGGAGGGUGCAAGCGUUACUCGGAAUCACUGGGCGUAAAGGACGCGUAGGCGGGUUGGAAAGUCAGGUGUGAAAUCCUACAGCUUAACUGUAGAACUGCACUUGAAACUUCUAAUCUAGAGUAUGGGAGGGGGAGAUGGAAUUAGUGGUGUAGGGGUAAAAUCCGUAGAUAUCACUAGGAAUACCUAAAGCGAAGGCGAUCUCCUGGAACAUUACUGACGCUAAGGCGUGAAAGCGUGGGGAGCAAACAGGAUUAGAUACCCUUGUAGUC
rnacentral:rRNA from 1 species